CAUCCCGGCUGCCUGAGAUCCGUUUCCUUCUGCUUUGUGAAUCCCGUUUGAAACUCCUUCAAGAAUGAAGUGCCAAGCUUUGCGAAGGGUGAUUUACACCCCUGGCUGGAAUGACUCUCUUUCUGGGCUGAUUACAUCUGCAAAUGCCCCCCAGAGGCCGCAGCAGGAUGGCCAUAUUCAGACGGAACAGCCAAUAAAUCUCAGAGGUGCCGUGAGGCGUUCUAGACAUGGCAGUUCCUAGCUGAUUGAAUCCUGGCACAGCUGCGCCUCCUCAUCUGAAAGCGGGACUCCUACGUGGUGAUCUCUCCAGUCACUCUCUUCAGUGAUUUGGCGGGGCUGGGGGGUGGUUGAGGACGAGGUCUCCAGUCCAGACUGGUUUGCCUUUGAACCUGUGGUACUCCUGCCUCCACUCUGGAGUGCUGUGCUGGGGACUGAACCCAGAACCCCACCCCCACCCCCGCUCUAUCAAUCAAGCCAGGUCUCAGUUCUGAUCAGUGUUUGAUCUGGCUAGCUGGGGGAACUAAGGGUCAGAGUGGGAGGAACAUCCUUUUGACGACUGCCCUCAUAGGUCAAAGGGACUUAGUCUUGGAGCAGCAGCUGGAUUUACCAAAGCUCCUGAGCCUGCCCUGCUUAUGUUCCUCUGUCAUUUCACCAGUCUGGGGCCAUUUUUCAUUCUUGAUUUUAAUGAUCACAAAACCGUGGAAAUACUAAGGACAAAUGAGAUAAUAGAUGUGCAAACUCACACACACACACACCACGAAAUCAAGAAACCUUUGUGGUGCUUCAAGGUUUCCUGGUUUGGUUUGGC